UCUCCCUCCUCCACCUCCAUCUUCUCCUCCUUCACCUUUGUGUCUCCUCCCUCCGCCACCUCCAUCUCCUCCUCCACUGCCAUCUCCUCUUCCCUUUUCUUCAUGAUUUCCUUCAUCAUCAUCACCUCUUCCUCCACCUCCUUCUUCAUCCUCCUCCUCCUCUUUCUGAUUUCCUCCAAAGUAAUCGGAAUCUCAUCAUCUGUUAAAGGAGAAGCGAUUGCCGUUUACACAAGGAGACCUUAAGCUCCAGCUAAGGGUUCAGGUAUUGCUGUAUUACCGCAGCAUCCACCAAUAUGCUUCGCUUCUCCACUGACGUCUAACACACUCAUCAAGCCAUCCAGUUCUUCAGUACACAAGCCAACGCCAUCAGAGAGAAACUGUUCAUGUGCAGCCCAGAGAAGAGCUGCAGCGAGAGGAGGACCACCUGAGAGAGCCCAACAUUCACUGUCAACACACGCAAAUCACACACUUAUCACACCGCUGUCCUGCCAAACACAAACACCACCCCAUUACCUUCCCGUUUGAAGGUUUGUAUGAUGGGGCGUGGGCUCAUCAGAGACACAGAUGCAUGCUGGGAUGUCUGUGAACUCCUCUGAAGCCCAGCUCAGUGAUCCCGGAGCUGGAAUACUAUGGUAAAUUUCUCCUAUUCCCCAAGAGACAUUCCGGAUAACAUCAGCAUUGACAUGUUUAUACACAUGAUUUGUUUUAUUUUGUUUCAGAAGCUUUUGUGCAUGUGAUAUGAGCAUGUGUGUGUGUGUGUGUUGGACUGACAGAUGGAUGGACGGAGAGAGAGAAUUGGUUUGUUGAACCUCAGCUGGCAUUUUUGGUGUCAGCUGUAAAAAAACGCCAGCGGCACAAAAAGUGUGUAUGCAUUGUGUGUGUGUGUCACUGUGAUCAGAGUCUCAGUCAUUUUAACAAUCGGAGCAACCUAACACUUCUCAGAAACCCUGCAUAUCUUAGUAAUUCAGGAGAAUAUAAAAACAAACUGCAUCUUAUUAUGUUUUCUCCUGUACAGUAAAUGUUGUAAGCAUUUUCUUUCUGCAUGAAAUACUAGUCUGACUUGACAGUGAGAAAUCCAGACUCGGAGUUGCUGAAGGAUUUGACUUUCAGCUGACAUGAUGGUUGAUGGAUGGAGUGUUUGGAAAAACUCAUUUUUAUUUCUGAGUAAAAACUGUCAAUAAAACUAUACAUUUAGUCA